UUAAGUUCAGCGGGUAUCCCUACCUAAUCCGAGGUCAAUCAUUAAAAAUGGGGGGUUUUGACGAGUAUCCACCAGGACCCUAUAGCGAUGAAUUUACUACGCUUAGAGCCUGACAGCACUGCCACUGAUUUUAGAGGCUGCCUUUACAGCAAGCCCCAACACCAAGCUAGGCUUGAGGGGUGAUAAUGACGCUCGAAUAG
rnacentral:misc_RNA from 1 species